GUUCUUGAGGCAGCUAUUAUCGAAAAUAAUGGAUUUGGCACUUGUGAUGAUUCCUGAGGCUGAAUCUGGACUCAGCAAGAAAGAGUGCCAUGAUUGAUUAGCCAUGUCUGCCAUUAGCUCAAAACUAGGGACAGAUCCUGCCAGAUACUUGCUGACAACAGCUUAGAAGUUUCCCUUGGCCAUACAAACCUUCUUAAAGGACUGACUGGUAGCAGUAAUGGAAAAUUCAGAUGGAUUACUGAUGCCACCCCUGGAGAGGUUCCUGAAUUCUGCUCAACACAAAAUCACCAUGAUUGGUAAACACUUUAAUAAGCUCACUGAAGCUUAAUGACUUCAAUUGUUCCCAUCAUUGCAUAUGUCCCUAACAGCACUCUAAUUUCAUAACUUUUACAAUUGUAACAAAAAUAAUUAUUGUCAGUUUCAUGAUUGUGAGCUCUGCUGGGAGCAAAAACUAUGAGCAGACUAAGACCAAUCUACCUGCCUGCCAAUAUUUUGAAAGACUUAAAACUCUUCUCUAUAAAUUAGAAUCCAAGAAGAGCUUGAAGAGUACAAUCCAAUGGCUUGGAACAAGACUUGUUUAGCUGCAACCAGAUUGGUAACAAACCUUAAUGAAGAAAUGUGUGCCCUUCUGAAGCCAUGACAAUAUCCAGUGGCACGGUUCCUCAGAGAAGAGCAGUUGAAUGAUAAGUUCCCUUUCAAAACUACCCGGUGAGUAGAUAUAGAUAGGA
rnacentral:lncRNA from 1 species